AAAACAACUAACUGUGUUUCAAAGCAUGACAUCAGACGACCACCAUGUCAGUCAACAUUACUGCAUCUAGGUUUGCCUACGGACCUCUCACUUCAGCAUUCAUUAUCGGUUUGUGUUUAUUAAUAAUUGUUCUGAUUUUAACACUGAAUGCUCUUAUGAUUGUCUCUAUGAUACGCAAACGCGAGCUUCUUGAGAAGCCGACCAACGUCUUGAUCAUCGGACUUGCGUUCAGUGACUUUGUAACAGGCUUUGUAGGUGUACCAGUCUACAUCCCGAAUGUUGUAACUGGGAAGCAAUUAGAAGCUAUUUAUAGUGACCCAAACAUACUGGUUAUUACAUCAUGUUUAUCGAUGUCUAUUUCAUUUCAUUUGCUUUUGACUGUUGAUCGAUAUAUAUCGAUUGUGUAUCCGUAUCGGUAUCUGAAUAUUACUGCAAAACGGAUGGUGUUUGUGAGCUGUGCGUCUGCAGGUACCAUAAUGUUUCUGGUUGGUGUUCAGAGCUUUCCAGCGGCAGGUCCUUUGUUCGGGUAUGUCUGCUUGUCAUUGGUAUUUCUCAACUUCUGAUGCAAAUAAAAAUAAUGAAUGUUGCAUUGAAAAUGUCAAAAAGUCAGCCAACGGACCCGGCAACCAGAAAUGAACUCAAAGCCGUCAAGGUAACUAUAUUGAUCAUCAUUGCAUACUACGGAUGCUUCCUUCCAAAGGUCUUCUUUAUAGUCAUACGAAGUUCAGCCUCUAAGUUUAACCUAUCAAUUCUCACCGUGUUUCGAGUGAUGACCGAUAUCAUUUGGAUAAGUAACUCUAUAGUAAAUCCUAUACUUUGUGCCGUUACUAAUUCGGCAAUAAAGAAGGCAUGUAGGGAAGUUUUCAACAUUACAUUUAAAAAACAAAGCGUACAUCCUCAAACUACGAUAUCUCUAUAGAACUAUAGAGGAAAUUACAGGAUGAUCUCUUUUUGUUUUUUUAAAAAGAACUUUGCACUAUUCUUACGAGUACUGUGGAAAGUAUCUUUCGGUUUCUGACCAACUCAUCGACGUCAUGCCUGUGCAUAAAAUUAAGUCAUAACGAACAUAACAACAGCUUAAGGGUAACAAUCUUUCAAAAGGCAUAAACGGCCUAAUGCUGCUAUGUAGUUUUGAGAGCUCUAAAUAUAGCCCUAUUUCAAACAUCUUGAAUUUCAGUUCAGUUGAAAGCAGAAAAUUAUUAAUGUGGACCAUUUUAAUAAUCGAAUAUGGAAUCACAAUCGAGAUAUAAAUAUGGAAUACAUAUUUAUUAUCACGGAAAUUGAAUAAAUAUCAUUUUUAGAGGAGAGCUCCACAGCAUUAACAUAUUAAAAGCAAAACUAUCAGUCAUUUAACUUGCUGUGAUAAGGGCUUGACUUUUCAAAUAGGCAUAUUACUACAUUUCAUUUUUUCCAAGCGAACAAUGUGAACAGUUUAUUUAAAGUUGUAUUGUCUCCUGAAAAUAACCAAACAAAAAACAAACAAGAUGUAAAAUAAUUUUGAAAGUAACUUGCUCAUUUUGUUGUAACAUACAAAUUAUUAACUUGAACAUAGAAAUUAUUGAAUU